rnacentral:lncRNA from 1 species
AGUGACAUGAAUGCGUGUUGCAAGACCUACUUGAAUGAUGCAGGAUUCUGCAAUACGAUCUGCUGCAAGACUACUAUGCAUGUUGGAUGGAAAUGGUCAUGCUGCAGGACCUGUGUCAAUGAUGCUUAUGAAGGUAUGAUUGUUAUAUUGUUGGAUGCUUUUAGUGACUAUAUUGCUAUGAAUGGCUGGUUUACAGGCCUGGCCUAUUGUAUGUGUGGUGUGCCAUGAUGUUGUAAUAUGCUAUGGUUUGUUUUGUAGGACGGUGCAAACAUAUCAUGAUAGAAAUCAAGGCCUACAAAAAGUGACUUAGGAUUGAAGAAAAUUAGUGAAGGCAAGCAAACUCAAGAACAUGGAAUCAUGGUGGAUAAUGGAAGAAUAAACCAAAAAUUUAGGGUUUAGGAUAUAAGAUGGGUUUAGUUGACUUAUGUCAAUUGGUUGACCAAAAAGUCAACAGUUGACAAAAAGUCAACUUAGGUAGAAAAUGGUUUUUUGUAAUCCUUUUUUAUGUAUGGACAUUUUGGUGUGAAUUGUAUGCAUUUAAAUGGUACUUGGUUUGUGGAGUGACGUUUGUGAUAUGAUUUGAAAUGGAUUGAUGAUUCACUAUGACUUAAUGAAAUCAAAA